rnacentral:rRNA from 1 species
GCUCGUAGGCGGCGUGUCGCGUCGGGAGUGAAAGCCCGCUGCUUAACGGCGGGUUGGCUUCCGGUACGGGCAUCGCUGGAGUGCGGCAGGGGAGACUGGAAUUCCUGGUGUAGCGGUGGAAUGCGCAGAUAUCAGGAGGAACACCGGUGGCGAAGGCGGGUCUCUGGGCCGUUACUGACGCUGAGGAGCGAAAGCGUGGGGAGCGAACAGGAUUAGAUACCCUGGUAGUCCACGCCGUAAACGUUGGGCGCUAGGUGUGGGGCCUGUUUCCACGGGCUCCGUGCCGCAGCUAACGCAUUAAGCGCCCCGCCUGGGGAGUACGGCCGCAAGGCUAAAACUCAAAGGAAUUGACGGGGGCCCGCACAAGCGGCGGAGCAUGCGGCUUAAUUCGAUGCGACGCGAAGAACCUUACCAGGGCUUGACAUGCACGGUGCAGCGCGAGAGAUCGCGUGUCCUUUGGGGUCGUGCACAGGUGGUGCAUGGUUGUCGUCAGCUCGUGUCGUGAGAUGUUGGGUUAAGUCCCGCAACGAGCGCAAAUCUCGUCCUGUAUU